rnacentral:rRNA from 1 species
UACAGAGGGGGCUAGCGUUAUUCGGAAUUAUUGGGCGUAAAGGGCGCGUAGGCGGCCAUGCGUGUCUUCCGUGAAAUCCCUCGGCUUAACUGAGGACGUGCGGAAGAAACUGCAAGGCUCGAGUCCGGGAGAGGGGGGUGGAAUUCCCAGUGUAGCGGUGAAAUGCGUAGAUAUCGGGAGGAACACCUGUGGUGUAGACGGCUAUCUGGACGGCGACUGACGCUGAGACACGAAAGCGUGGGUAGCAAACAGG